AUGAGCUCCAGGCUCCUCUGCUGGGUGGCCCUUGGUCUCCUGGGAGCAGGCCCUGCGGAUGCUGAGGUCACUCAAAACCCCAGAUACCUGGUCAAAGCAAGGAGUCAGCCAGUGACCCUAACAUGCAACUAUGAAUCUGGGCACCAGUAUGUGUUCUGGUAUCAACAGGCCCUGGGAAAGAGUCACGACUUCCUAGUUUCUUGUUUUGAUGGGCAAGAGAAUGAGAAAGGCAGCCUCUCUGAUCGCUUCUCAGUCCAACAGUUCAGUAAGGAUUCCAGCACUGAGCUGAGCAUAAGCACCGUGGAAGUGGCUGACUCUGCCCUGUACCUCUGUGCCAGCAGCCUCACAGCCCUAUCUGCUCAGCUGCCUCCUGCACAAAAACACCCGUGGCCACCCAGGAAAUGGUAUGAGGGAGGCAACUAA